ACAACAACGUUCGGAUCGUCGGUCUACCAAGCAACAUCACCAGCUCGGUGGAAGAUCUUCCCUUUGUUGUAUGCC
rnacentral:pre_miRNA from 1 species